rnacentral:rRNA from 1 species
UACAGAGGUGGCAAGCGUUGUUCGGAAUUACUGGGCGUAAAGGGCGCGUAGGCGGUUCGUUAAGUCCUGUGUGAAAUCCCCCGGCUCAACUGGGGAACUGCACAGGAAACUAGCGGGCUUGAGUUCGGGAGAGGGAAGCGGAAUUCCUAGUGUAGAGGUGAAAUUCGUAGAUAUUAGGAAGAACACCAGUGGCGAAGGCGGCUCACUGGCCCGGUACUGACGCUGAGGCGCGAAAGCGUGGGGAGCAAACAGG